UUAUAAGAGACAGCAGUCGCCGCGGGAAUACGUAGGGUGCAAGCGUUAAUCGGAAUUACUGGGCGUAAAGCGUGCGCAGGCGGUUAUAUAAGACAGAUGUGAAAUCCCCGGGCUCAACCUGGGAACUGCAUUUGUGACUGUAUAGCUAGAGUACGGCAGAGGGGGAUGGAAUUCCGCGUGUAGCAGUGAAAUGCGUAGAUAUGCGGAGGAACACCGAUGGCGAAGGCAAUCCCCUGGGCCUGUACUGACGCUCAUGCACGAAAGCGUGGGGAGCAAACAGGAUUAGAUACCCGCGUAGUCCCUGUCUCUUAUAC
rnacentral:rRNA from 1 species